rnacentral:other from 1 species
AUUCCUGGGGUGUUCGACAAUCCUGUGAUUUUGAACCUACAUUACGAUUUUGGGAUUCCUAUAUCUUUAAGUGGAUGUCAGGCCUCCUUUGAGUGGAAGGCAGAAGCUUAAUUGCGGUUACCCACCUAGCUGAGGCUAGGCGUCAAAAUACAGGAAACGGCAUUUUGGGGUAU